AUUAAGAAAAAAAUGUAAAGCCCUUCCAAAGAAUCCAUAGGUGUACCUGAAGAACUAACGAAUAAGAAGACCAGCUUAUGGAAGUUCCUACCCAAGCUUUAAGGGGAAAAAAAAAAAAAACAUCUGAGAAACGUCAUGUGUCUGUGAGUCUCAGAAAGGAGGCUCCACUGUAAUCAACUGUGUCAUCCGUAUCCGUUUUCCUUCAACAGAAUCGAUGGAAAAUCUCCCAAAUUCAUGCAAUUCAGCGAGGAAUUACUGAGUACCUCACCUCUGAUUCACAAAGUAGGUUACUACAAAAUGAGUUAUCUAUGAUUUCUGAUUUCAGGAAAUUCAUGUUUAGAACACGUCUCCAAAUUCCACUGAGAGAUGAUUGCAGAUGAAGGAUCAGAGAAUUUGAGCCUCGUGGUGGCAUUAUUAUUUUGUAGAGGCCCAGCUUCUUUGUCCCACCGGGUACUCAUCUUCUCCUUUCUGCCUCAUUUCACGCUGGAAAUGGGCAGCUUCAUGGAUCAGAAUCUGACAGGGCACCGACCUAGACCAAGGCGGCCGUAUGUUCCACACUGCAGACCGAGGGCAUCACGGAAGCUGGUGACAGAGGCAAAGUACAUUUUUAAAAGAUCUUCCCCUCCCACUGAGUGUUGGUAAAACUAGAGGGGGGAGAAAUCCUCAAGUACGUUUCCUUUCGUGUCUUUAUUCUGGAUUAUGAUCUACACAGAGACUAAGAAGAAAGACAACAGGGGUGAUCAAGUAAAGCACAUGAAAUAGCUGGAGAUACUAUUGUCCCCCAAAAUCUGCACACAAGACAUAUGGCAGAAUAAAGUGGACUAUUAAAAAAAAACAAAAACGGUUACCCCAGGAGAGAUGAACAGUGAAGGCAGUGAUCUCAGAAGUUCUUAGUAACUCAGAAAAUCACCUGGGAAAGGAGACCUUCCAAUCCGUUACUCACUCUAAGGACUGGUGUUCCAGAGGACUGGCAGGCUUCUUGACCGUCCCUCUCACUGUGAUGUCUGGCCCUGAGAGCUGGCUUCCUGUGGGCCUAGCUUCUGACACAUGGAGGUACCAGUGGUUGAACUUACCUCUGGACACCCAGCAUCACGAGAAUUGACUCAUGUAGCAUGAAUAACACCCAGGAAGGGCAAUAGAGUUAAACAGUUUCCUUCAUCAUCUCAGAUCCCCGCUCGCCUGGAGACAAGGCUACGGGCCUCGCACGUUGUGCCCGCAGGAGCUGGGCAGCAGGCAGGUGGGGCCGGUUCCUUCUUCCCUUGCUGUAGAUCAAGUUGCAAAGUCAACAAGACUGGUGUAAGCGGCUGCCUGCACUCACACUGCCCCACACGGAACUGCAGCAGGAAAACCCAGGAAGAAACUGAGGGAGGUUAUUACAACCAAGACCUUUUCACCUCAAGUGCAAAACUCCCGGAGCUCUCAAGGACCUGCUGCCUCCCCACCUACCAGCCCACAACCAGCUGCCAAGGAAUCCAGGAACUGACUGCCAGUGCGCAUGUUCCAGUGCUCGAGGGUGCUUCAGCCUGGUGUCUUUGCAAAGUGACCGUGAAAUACCAGAAUCAGAAGCCUCAGGACAAUUCCCCAAGGACCCCAGUGGCCAAGCCUAUUUGCAAAGCCAAAACCUGCAGUUAGUCCUUUUCACACCAACCUUUGUAAAGCAACAAUAAACGUUUCUAAUUCUGUGGUAAACACUGUACCCCACCCCCCACCCCUACCACCACCAGCCUGAGAAACCAGCAUAAAAAUUUGGAAGGUGAAAAGAAAUUUGUCUGAAAUGGAGAUUGCUUUGCCUUGGGGGCGUGGGGAUCCCUGAACGGAGCCACUUUAAAACAACUAGACUAGAAUACUGAGAAGAACAUUUUUAAGAUUCUUAAAAUAAUUUCUUAAUAAUAAAUAAGAGACAAAGAAAAGAAAGCAGGAGAUCAAAAUGAUGCUACCCGGUCCAGUUUCCCAGAGUAGAGUUGACCAGAAGUGUUAGGAUUCCCCUGACCAAACGGCAGCUUGUCCUGAAAGCCUGAAGCCUCCUCACCAUUUCUCCUGUGGUCGAAGGCCCGUUAAGUCUCCUGGGAGCAGCCAAGUGUCCGUCACUGAGAAAAAUCUUUCCACCUAAACAUGAGCCUCCUGGCCUCUGCUAGGAAUCUCCUUUCCUCAGGGCGAGUAACGUUCAGCCAUGUUACUUCCCACCACUGGAAGUCAGUCGCCAAUGGAGUUUGGGGGAAAAAAACAAAACAAAACAAAACACAGCAACAAAAACCCCACAAAACUCGUUUACAGAAAAACCUAUAACUUUGGCCCCAGUGAGGGCUUUCCUUUUCCAAAAUAAGCGAUGAGAAAAAUCUGAAGGUAUAAAAAGUCAGCAGAAGACAUUUCAGUUCCCCCUGCCACACAGCCGGACAGGCUCCACGUCACAAAAAUAAGAGCCCUGCAGCUGUCGUUCCACUGGAGGGCACAGACCAUGACAGAUCCAGCCGACGGGUCGCCUCUGGCAGUGCUCUGUCUGCAUGCGGGCAUCGUGUGUGUUCGCCCCGAGCUUGGGAAGCAUGUGGAUGCUACUCAUUUAAAUAAACACGGCCCUCCAGUUCCCGGAAGAAGGGAUAAUAAAUAUCACCGAGGACAUAUGCAAAAUUGUCAGCACUUGUUUAUUUCAUCGCCCCAUGUAAACCACAUUCACGCCACAGUGAGGAAGCUAAGGAGAUAGGUCCCUCCUCAUGGCUCCUGGUGGAGCUCACACCCAGGUAUUUGUCACUGUAAUGUCUCCAGUCAGCUUUCAGGGCGCCUUCAUCAGCCAGGUGCUACCUAGAACGGUGUCGAGGGUCCUCUUGAAAGAAGAUGCUUCUCCUAGCCGCUGUCCUGUUACAGAUUUCUUGCGAGCCACCAGGGCCAGGCAGUAAGUUCAACAGCAGAUAGGACUGCUGCUGUAAGGGCUAGUUGGGAUCCAGGGUAAGCCUACAUUUCUACCAUCAAGGAACCCGGAAGAGGAACCCACCUCGCUCAUGUCGACUAUCUACCUCGCUGAAAGUGCUUUCCAUUUACAACUGACUGGUUGAACCUCCCUCCUGCAGCCACACGAGGCCAUUUUGAAAGACAAAACCUUCCUAGCCCAGAAGGACACAUGACACACUAUUGAUCACUCCAAGUAACCUCGGUAAAUAUUAUUCUCUUUUGCUGUUGAACCUUCGGUAUUAUUUUUUUAAAGAUCCACUAAGGAGAAAUACAAAUAAUUUUCUCUUCACUUGUAGCAAAACCAAAAACAAAUACAUGAACAAUAGGAAUUCAAGCCCAGGGCUAACAAACUUGUCCUAGCUUCUAAGUGAAAACAAAGUCAUAAAAGUUGCUGACACUUUUCACUUUAACGUAAAGAAGUUUGUUUGUGUUCUCUGCCUAAGGUAGUUGAGGGCGCCUGGGAAAGUUUAGCUCAUGUGGCUAAAGGAUUAUCCACAUCCUUAAUUGAAACACUAAUGUGAAUGUUCCUCUUCUGGUGAAGAUCUGAGUCAAAGUUUUCAAAUUUGUUCUUUCCAUUCAUGGACAAUGGCUGAGUUUUUUCCAAACAGGAAGCAAGAACUUGGGCUUUGGCCAAAGAUUGGACUUGACACGCUACAGAAAAGCUUUCCCGCCCAAUUUACACUGGAUUGCUGUUUACUUUUUUUUUUUUUUUUAAUGGACUCCAACAAAGAGAUUUCAUGCGCAUGUAAAUGUGGGCUUUCCACUCACUGGUGUUUGAACUGAAAGGGCUCUGCAGCCAGGAGGUAUCACCACGUCACUCAUACGUUCUAGCAAUCUGGAUAACACGCAGGGCAGAGGCGGAAAAAGAUAGAUGGACAAAAAAUGCCUUUGAAGGUGUUUAGAAGAUAUGAGAAAGUAGAACCUCAACCGAAUUACAAUC